AUUGAACGCUGGCGGCAGGCCUAACACAUGCAAGUCGAGCGAGCGGCGGACGGUUGAGGAAUGGAUGGGAACUGCCCGUUAGCGGGCGAUAAGUACUGGAAACGGUAGCUAAUACCGCAUACUAGCGGAUAACUCAUAUGGGAUUAGCUAGUAGGUGAGGUAAUGGCUCACCUAGGCGACGAUCCCUAGCUGGUCUGAGAGGAUGAUCAGCCACACUGGGACUGAGACACGGCCCAGACUCCUACGGAGGCAGCAGUGGGGAAUAUUGCACAAUGGACGCAAGCCUGAUGCAGCAAUGCCGCGUGUAUGAAGAAGGCCCUAGGGUUGUAAAACACUUUCAGUCGGGAGGCGUUACCUACAGAAGAAGCACCGGCUAACUCCGUGCCAGCAGCCGCGGUAAUUC
rnacentral:rRNA from 1 species